CCCAGCCGCACGCCCCCAUCCCCAUCGCGCCUCCCCACCUCGCACAGUCGCGCGCCCACGCCGCACGCCCGCACGACACCCAGCCGCGGCGCCGCCCGCCCCCAUCGCGCCCUCUACCUGCCGCCGGAGCAGAGGAGCCAGCUCGUCACCUCGGCCAAGGGCGGCGCCGGCUGGGGCUCCCGUUCCCGCUGCCGCGCCCCUGCUCCUGCGGCCGGCAAAUGUGCUUGGUGGCGGGGCCCCUGCUCCUGCGGCCGGCGGACCUGCUCUGUAGUCGGUCGUCGGCGCCCCCUUCCCCUCCCUUGGAGGACGAUGUUGUGGACACUGGACAGCGAUGAAGAGAUGGAGGGGCCCAUGUAAAUGUUUUUCUCUACAACGUGUACGAUGUUGAUUCUUCAAUAGAGAAGCGAUACUGUAUUUUGUGUAAUGAAUUAAUGUUGUAACCUGUGAUGCCCCUGUGAUACGAACUAUAUCGUGGUAUUAGUGCAUUUACUUAUCUUUCGAUUAUGAUACUAUUUGCCAGUGUAUUAUGUAUAGUUGCAACCGUUGUAUCGAGUUGAACAUUUGAAGUGGUUG